rnacentral:rRNA from 1 species
AGUGAACGCUGGCGGUAGGCCUAACACAUGCAAGUCGAACGGCAGCACAGUAAGAGCUUGCUCUUACGGGUGGCGAGUGGCGGACGGGUGAGGAAUACAUCGGCAUCUACUUUUUCGGGGGGGAUAACGUAGGGAAACUUACGCUAAUACCGCAUACGACCUACGGGUGAAAGCAGGGGAGCUUCGGACCUUGCGCGAUUGAAAGAGCCGAUGUCGGAUUAGCUAGUUGGCGGGGUAAAGGCCCACCAAGGCGACGAUCCGUAGCUGGUCUGAGAGGAUGAUCAGCCACACUGGAACUGAGACACGGUCCAGACUCCUACGGGAGGCAGCAGUGGGGAAUAUUGGACAAUGGGCGCAAGCCUGAUCCAGCCAUACCGCGUGGGUGAAGAAGGCCUUCGGGUUGUAAAGCCCUUUUGUUGGGAAAGAAAAGCAGCAGGUUAAUCCCCCGCUGUUCUGACGGUACCCAAAGAAUAAGCACCGGCUAACUUCGUG